rnacentral:rRNA from 1 species
GGCCAAGUUUUUAAGGGCGCACGGUGGAUGCCUUGGCACCAGGAACCGAUGAAGGACGUGGGAGGCCGCGAUAGGCCCCGGGGAGCUGUCAACCGAGCUGUGAUCCGGGGGUGUCCGAAUGGGGAAACCCGGCAGUCGUCAUGGGCUGUCACCCGCUGCUGAACACAUAGGCAGUGUGGAGGGAACGCGGGGAAGUGAAACAUCUCAGUACCCGCAGGAAGAGAAAACAACCGUGAUUCCGGGAGUAGUGGCGAGCGAAACUGGAUGAGGCUAAACCGUAUGUGUGUGAUACCCGGCAGGGGUUGCGCAUGCGGGGUUGUGGGNNNNNNNNNNNNNNNNNNNNNNNCCCAAGUAGCACGGGGCCCGAGAAAUCCCGUGUGAAUCUGGCGGGACCACCCGCUAAGCCUAAAUAUUCCCUGGUGACCGAUAGCGGAUAGUACCGUGAGGGAAUGGUGAAAAGUACCGCGGGAGCGGAGUGAAAUAGUACCUGAAACCGUGUGCCUACAAGCCGUGGGAGCGUCGGACAUCAGCUUGCUGGUGUCUCGUGACUGCGUGCCUUUUGAAGAAUGAGCCUGCGAGUUUGCGGUGUGUUGCGAGGUUAACCCGUGUGGGGAAGCCGUAGCGAAAGCGAGUCCGAAUAGGGCGGUUUAGUAGCGCGCUCAAGACCCGAAGCGGAGUGAUCUAGCCAUGGGCAGGUUGAAGCGGAGGUAAGACUUCGUGGAGGACCGAACCCACCAGGGUUGAAAACCUGGGGGAUGACCUGUGGUUAGGGGUGAAAGGCCAAUCAAACUCCGUGAUAGCUGGUUCUCCCCGAAAUGCAUUUAGGUGCAGCGUCGUGUGUUUCUUGCCGGAGGUAGAGCACUGGAUAGGCGAUGGGCCCUACCGGGUUACUGACCUUAGCCAAACUCCGAAUGCCGGUAAGUGAGAGCGCGGCAGUGAGACUGUGGGGGAUAAGCUCCAUGGUCGAGAGGGAAACAGCCCAGAGCAUCGACUAAGGCCCCUAAGCGUACGCUAAGUGGGAAAGGAUGUGGAGUCGCAGAGACAACCAGGAGGUUGGCUUAGAAGCAGCCAUCCUUGAAAGAGUGCGUAAUAGCUCACUGGUCAAGUGAUUCCGCGCCGACAAUGUAGCGGGGCUCAAGCGUACCGCCGAAGUCGUGUCAUUGCAGCAUGAGGCUUAACGGCCGUUGUGAUGGGUAGGGGAGCGUCGUGUGCCGGGUGAAGCAGCCGUGUAAGCGAGUUGUGGAUGGUUCACGAGUGAGAAUGCAGGCAUGAGUAGCGNNNAGGCUUAACGGCCGUUGUGAUGGGUAGGGGAGCGUCGUGUGCCGGGUGAAGCAGCCGUGUAAGCGAGUUGUGGAUGGUUCACGAGUGAGAAUGCAGGCAUGAGUAGCGAUACACACGUGGGAAACGUGUGCGCCGAUUGACUAAGGGUUCCUGGGUCAAGCUGAUCUGCCCAGGGUAAGUCGGGACCUAAGGCGAGGCCGACAGGCGUAGUCGAUGGACAACCGGUUGAUAUUCCGGUACCCGCUUUGAAACGCCCAGUAUCGAAUCCUCUGAUGCUAAGGCCGUGAAGCCGCCCUGGAUCCUUCGGGUGAAGGGGAGUGGUGGAGCCGCCGGCCCAAGGUGGUAGUANNNACGCCCAGUAUCGAAUCCUCUGAUGCUAAGGCCGUGAAGCCGCCCUGGAUCCUUCGGGUGAAGGGGAGUGGUGGAGCCGCCGGCCCAAGGUGGUAGUAGGUAAGUGAUGGGGUGACGCAGGAAGGUAGUCCAGCCCGGGCGGUGGUUGUCCCGGGGUAAGGGUGUAGGACGUAAGGUAGGCAAAUCCGCCUUGCAUGUGUCUGAGACCUGAUGCCGAGCCGAUUGUGGUGAAGUGGAUGAUCCUAUGCUGUCGAGAANACCAGACUUGUAGUAGGUGAGUGAUGGGGUGACGCAGGAAGGUAGUCCAGCCCGGGCGGUGGUUGUCCCGGGGUAAGGGUGUAGGACGUAAGGUAGGCAAAUCCGCCUUGCAUGUGUCUGAGACCUGAUGCCGAGCCGAUUGUGGUGAAGUGGAUGAUCCUAUGCUGUCGAGAAAAGCCUCUAGCGAGUUUCAUGGCGGCCCGUACCCUAANCCCGAGGGGUAGGUAAAUCCGUCCCUCAUGUAAGGGUGAGACCUGAUGCCGAGCCGAUUGUGGUGAAGUGGAUGAUCCUAUGCUGUCGAGAAAAGCCUCUAGCGAGUUUCAUGGCGGCCCGUACCCUAAACCGACUCAGGUGGUCAGGUAGAGAAUACCGAGGCGUUCGGGUGAACUAUGGUUAAGGAACUCGGCAAAAUGCCCCCGUAACUUCGGGAGAAGGGGGGCCAUUGCUGGUGAUGGGACUUGCUCCUUGAGCUGGUGGUGGCCGCAGAGACCAGCGAGAAGCGACUGUUUACUAAAAACACAGGUCCGUGCGAAGCCNAAGCGACUGUUUACUAAAAACACAGGUCCGUGCGAAGCCGUAAGGCGAUGUAUACGGACUGACGCCUGCCCGGUGCUGGAACGUUAAGGGGACCGGUUAGUGGGGUUUCGAUUCCGCGAAGCUGAGAACUUAAGCGCCAGUAAACGGCGGUGGUAACUAUAACCAUCCUAAGGUAGCGAAAUUCCUUGUCGGGUAAGUUCCGACCUGCACGAAUGGCGUAACGACUUCUCGACUGUCUCAACCAUAGGCCCGGUGAAAUUGCAUUACGAGUAAAGAUGCUCGUUUCGCGCAGCAGGACGGAAAGACCCCGGGACCUUUACUAUAGCUUGAUAUUGGUGUUCGGUUCGGCUUGUGUAGGAUAGGUGGGAGACUGUGAAGCGCUGACGCCAGUUAGUGUGGAGUCGUUGUUGAAAUACCACUCUGGUCGUGCUGGAUGUCUAACCUGGGUCCGUGAUCCGGAUCAGGGACAGUGUCUGGUGGGUAGUUUAACUGGGGCGGUUGCCUCCUAAAGGGUAACGGAGGCGCCCAAAGGUUCCCUCAGCCUGGUUGGCAAUCAGGUGUUGAGUGUAAGUGCACAAGGGAGCUUGACUGUGAGACCGACGGGUCGAGCAGGGACGAAAGUCGGGACUAGUGAUCCGGCGGUGGCUUGUGGAAGCGCCGUCGCUCAACGGAUAAAAGGUACCCCGGGGAUAACAGGCUGAUCUUCCCCAAGAGUCCAUAUCGACGGGAUGGUUUGGCACCUCGAUGUCGGCUCGUCGCAUCCUGGGGCUGGAGUCGGUCCCAAGGGUUGGGCUGUUCGCCCAUUAAAGCGGUACGCGAGCUGGGUUUAGAACGUCGUGAGACAGUUCGGUCCCUAUCCGCUGUGCGCGUAGGAGUCUUGAGAAGGGCUGUCCCUAGUACGAGAGGACCGGGACGGACGAACCUCUGGUGUGCCAGUUGUUCUGCCAAGGGCAUGGCUGGUUGGCUACGUUCGGGAGGGAUAACCGCUGAAAGCAUCUAAGCGGGAAGCCUGCUUCGAGAUGAGGGCUCCCACCCACUUGAUGGGUUAAGGCUCCCAGUAGACGACUGGGUUGAUAGGCCAGAUAUGGAAGCCGGGUGACCGGUGGAGUUGACUGGUACUAAUAGGCCGAGGGCUUGUCCUC